AAGCAUGAAAGAUACCUGCACCUGCUCCAAUAGAGCAACGCUGGACAGCUCGCACCAGGAGUGCCAUGAGUCCUGCUUCAAGCUCAGUAGAUGAUAAUAUUUUCUCGGGUUGGUAUAAUCAUGUACCUUCCCACAAUGGACGCCUGCCAGAGAAAGGAAAUAACAGAGGAGUUCUUCUAUUACCGUCAUCUGACCCAGUCACGGUUGUGGGAUCAAUAUUUUGCUUAUGAACAUUGGGCUUAGAUUGAGGUACUAAUUCAAUCUUGGAAAAACUGCUCUAUUCAUGUCUUCAUAAGUUUUAAAUCAUGAGAUGUCAUUGUGUGGUAUCUUGUAAUGCAUAGAAACUUUCUGGCUUAAAUUUAUUUGGAACCUUUUGAUAUUCCACAUUUCCUCAAAAUUCAUUUUAGUUUCUACAUCUUAGUUAAUUCUAAUAAAUCAGUUUUUGUUUUUGUCUUAAAAGGGAUUUGUUAAAUUGAAAACUAUAUAUAAAUCCUUUGCUACUCAUCACACGACACUUAUUUUAAUUUUUUUAAUUUUUUUUUUUUUUUUGUUUUAUUCCUCCUAAACUAAUUGAGUUAUUCUACCUCAUCAUCCAUACACCACACAUUUGGUAAGGGAAAAAAAAUUAAAAAAAAAAAAAUCAUGUCUGGUGUGUGGUGUGAGGAUGAUGAGUAGAAUUUUUCAAUUCCUUUAUCUUGUUUGGAACAUGUCUAGAAUUACCACCCCCUAAAACCGUCCCCCCUCCCCCCAAUGGUCCUCAAAAAACAAAAAAAUGCCAAGCAGUCACAAUACCUUUGAGUAGCUCAUCAAUCUGAUUUUUCACAGGAUUUUGUACUGAUUUAACCUUGGCGGAUUGACUGUCAAAUAAGUGUUACAUUAAAAGCAUUUCCUUCUCUGUUUUUUUUUUUUCUUUUAUCAUAUAAACACUCACAUGCGGAUUCCGCAUGACAAAGAAGAGCUUGCAGCUCUCCAAGCAAGAUUGAGGAAGCGUUUUCCUGUGGACACAUACAACAACGCUCGAAGGGAAUUCGACCCUAACAGGAUCCUUCUAAUAACAAACUGGAGAAACUGUUCCCAUUAUCAGAUACCAUCUGAGAAGCAUCUUCGUUGUACUACGGCCUUUUCCAAUUAGAGGGUUUGUUUGCUCAAAUCUCUCGAAGUCGUUCUUUAAUUUGUGCCAGAAAAAGGGGUCGAGUGGUCCAUUUGAGCAUCAUGACUUAUGAGAAAGCCAGCUCUGGAUGUAUCACCAUUUUAUACUCUUUUAUCUUUUAUGUUACUUUUCCACACAUAUCUUCGGAUCAUGUAUCUCGUUAGGCUUUAAAUUAAUGGCUGCGUU